rnacentral:rRNA from 1 species
AUUGAACGCUGGCGGCAUGCUUUACACAUGCAAGUCGAACGGCAGCACGGGGGCAACCCUGGUGGCGAGUGGCGAACGGGUGAGUAAUGCAUCGGAACGUACCGUGUUGUGGGGGAUAACGUAGCGAAAGUUACGCUAAUACCGCAUACGUCCUGAGGGAGAAAGCGGGGGAUCGCAAGACCUCGCGCGAUACGAGCGGCCGAUGUCGGAUUAGCUAGUUGGUGGGGUAAAGGCCCACCAAGGCGACGAUCCGUAGCGGGUCUGAGAGGAUGAUCCGCCACACUGGGACUGAGACACGGCCCAGACUCCUACGGGAGGCAGCAGUGGGGAAUUUUGGACAAUGGGGGCAACCCUGAUCCAGCCAUGCCGCGUGCGGGAAGAAGGCCUUCGGGUUGUAAACCGCUUUCGGACGGAAAGAAAUCGCACGGGCUAAUACCCUGUGUGGAUGACGGUACCGUAAGAAGAAGCACCGGCUAACUACGUGCCAGCCGCCGCAGUAAUAC